rnacentral:lncRNA from 1 species
CACCGAGUGAAACCCUGUUACAAAAUCAAAAAAUGCUGGGCACGGUGGCACACACCUAUAAUCCCAGCAACUCCGGAGGCUGAGGCAGGAGGAUGGCAAGUUUGUGGUCAGGUAUGUCCCUAGCCCCAGAACUUUGAAUUUUAAUUGAAAUUUGAUGGGAAGCCAUUGGAGGGCUUGAGGCAGGAAGUGUCAUAAAAUGAUAAUGUUUUUAAAGGACCACUUCUAUUGUUGUGUGACUAAAAUAAAGUAUAGGGAGUAAAGGUGGAAAUGGGGAGACCAGUUGGAGGCUAUUGCAGGAUUUGAGGAUGACACGUGAUGGCUUGGGACACAGUGAAGGGCAGAGGGACUCCCUAGACAUUUUGAAAAUGGAGCCAACAGAUUGAAUGUGGGUUGUGAGCAAGACAGAAAAGUGGUGAUGGGUGGGGGGUUUAAUCAGAGCCGCUCGGUGAGUGGUAGUUGUUUCCUGAGCUGGGAAAGGCGUGAGCAGAUUUGGGGUGGAAGAGAAGGUGGUUCACUGUGGUCGAGGUGAAACUUGAGAUGCCUGUUGCAUAUUCAACCAUAGUUAAGGAAAUAGCUCUGGGGCUUUUGGGGGAGAAUUUGGAACCAGUCAAACGUCAAAUGUGGAGAUAAGCAUUUGAGGAGUGGGCAGAGAGAAGAGGGAAGCCAAGAUGAUUUAGGUUUUGAGAUUGGGGAAGUGGAACUGCCAGAAAUAGAAAUGGAGAAGUCAGGGGCUACCCUUGUGUCCACUUUGUGAGUCCCAAGGCCCCCGUCUCCUGUGUACCUCCAGGGAAUGCCCAGAACACCCUGGCCCAGCCCACAGUGUGGCUCACCAUCGUGCUCACCACGGUCGUCUGCAUCAUGCCUGUGGUGGCCUUUCGGUUCCUCAGGCUCAGCCUGAAGCCAGACCUGUCUGACACGGUGAGCCGUCCUGGGCUGUCCGCUCCGGGGGCGGAGACCCUUGGCCGGAAGGGCUGUCUCAGGCACCGGUGUGGCUGUCUCGGGACUGUGGCUUGGGGGUUGGUGGUGGUCCUAAGCUGCACAGGCGUGGAGGGUCCUGUGCUGGCCUGUCCCAGGGCCCCGGCUCCCUUCUCCGUGGUGGCGUGUCACACCGCUGGCUCUUCCCGUGUCCCCCAGGUCCGCUACACGCAGCUGGUGAGGAAAAAGCAGAAAGCGCAGCACCGCUGCAUGCGGCGGGCCGGCCGCACGGGGUCGCGGCGCUCGGGCUACGCCUUCUCGCACCAGGAGGGCUUCGGGGAGCUCAUCAUGUCUGGCAAGAACAUGCGGCUCAGCUCCCUGGCGCUGUCCAGCUUCACCGCCCGCUCCAGCUCCAGCUGGAUCGAGAGCCUGCGCAGGAAGAAGAGCGACAGCGCCGGCAGCCCCGGCGGCGGGGCCGAGAAGCCCCUCAAGGGGUGAAGACCUGCGGUCACAGGACACUCCGUGCUGGUGACCAGAGCAGCUGGCCAGUGGGGCGCCAAGGGAACAGUAUCUCGAACUGUUGGUCCUCGCUCUCUGCCUCCCGUCUCCUCUGGUAGCAAAAAAAUAUAAAAUUAAAA